rnacentral:lncRNA from 1 species
AAAGCAACUAAAACUAUACUAUAAUUCCUAAAUUACAAUUUGCCCCUUGAGGUUAAUGAGAAAUCACAAUUGCUUCUUAGAAAAUCUAAAAGGGUUUCAAGUCUUCUGCAGAUACAGAUUUUGAACACCACUGAACUCUUUCCAAAAAAGGACAGUUAUUUUAAGUUAUCUUUUCCUCCACUGUAGAAAAUCUUGAAGAUCUUUUUUUUCCUCUCCUCACCAAAAUCUCAUUUUCACCAGAAAUAAUCACAUUCAGGUUUUCUCAGAAGGUAAAGUAUACCUUCUCACAAGGUUUCAAAUUUCAGGAUUCCAAUAAUGCAUUUAGGCUAAGCACCCCCCUUUGUGUGCCUAUUAUUUUGCAGUUCUGUUAUUUGCACCCCAUGUGGGUCCUUUGGAGGCUCCCAAGCCCUGACUAACCAGGAAUCCCUCAGUCCCUCAAAGUGGAUCACUGACCACAAAGACGCCUGAGGAUCCCCAAGCCCUAUCUUCUGUCCAAAAGGAAAAGGGGCUUUGUGAGGCCGAAAGGAAGCGAGAGAAAACCGGACAAAUGUAGCUCCUGCUCAAAGUGAAAAGUGUUUGGACAGAUUAGCGUGUUUUUUUUUUUUUUUCUGCCAGGCAUCCUGCCAAACUUUUUUUUCUCUUUUUUUUUUUUUUUUUAAAGAGAGAAGAGUUGUUAUUAUUAUUGUUUUGGUCUGAUUUUUUUUUCUCAGUUUCUUGGAAAGUGUGGGUAUUUACCACCCCCCGUGGGCCCUGGAAUCAGGGCCGGGCCGUUUUGUGUUUUUCCCAUCCCUCCACAUCCCUGACCGCCUCUGUCCCCGCCUCACCCUGUCAAAAGCCCAGCUCCAGGCGGCUCCCGACGACACAUCCUACUCUGGCCCUCUUGUCCGCUAGCUCAGGAUCCCCCACCCCAGCCUCCCUGAGAGCCAGAAAUCUUAACUUAACCGCCCCCCUCCCCCAAGGACCACUGCCUCCCGGCUCGCCCCCCACUCCGAGCGCCGCCAGGGCUCAGCCGCCUCCCCUCCCUCCGGAAGGCUUGAAUUUGCACACUUGCUUGGCACCGCGCCGCGAGCCCCCUGGGCCCAGCGCCUGGCGGGGCUCGGGCAGAGUCGGCCUCCCGGGCCCUCGUCCCCCGCCGCCGCCGCCGCAGUGCCCACCUCCUCGCAGCAGCCGAGCGCUGCCAGAGUCCGGUUACCUGCUCCACGGGGCCGCGGACACGUGCGGAGGUCGCGGUGACGCCGCAGCCCCCUCAGCAGGCCCGGCGCGACCCGGACCCUCAGUCGAAAAGACCGCGGACCGAGACGCGUUCCGGUGGAGAAUAUGUGAUCGCCUCGGUGUCGGUGCGGAGGACUUCGCUUCGGGGAGGGAAGAGGAGGGCUCGGCUCGCUCUCUGGAGGCUCGGCAUGCAGAAUUUCUCUGCGGCGGCACCAGGGUUGUGCCAGCCCGCGCCAGAGCCGGCGGGGCCGAGGAAAGCGGGACCGAGCUCCGGGGAGCCGCGGCGUGCAGGCGGUGUGGAGAAGGACAGCGUGAGCGCGUCGACCAGCAGUACAAGUACAUGGCGGAGAUCGGGGAGGGCGCCUACUGGAAGGUGUUCAAGGCCCACUCCUCAAGAAUGGAGGCCGGUUCCUGGCGCUGA